UCUUCAAAAAGGAUACAGGUUCAUUAUGAAUAUUGACACCAUAGCAGAAAGUAUAUGGAAGACAGUUGAAGAUAUGAUACAUAAUUCUAUAUCUGUAUAUAAUCACUUGAAUACAUUCCCAUCUCUACACAUACAUAGAAAAACAGAAAGGGAGAUGGAUGAACAGGCUGGAGUUGGAAUAUAGGCAAGACUAGAGUAAUCAUCUUGAGCCAUGAGAUGGAAACCAUGUUUUGGGAAUGGUAGAAAACAAGUUAUAAGAAAAUUUAGCCUCCAGCAGUAUUAAGCUAAGAUAACUGCACUUAUGAUGGUCACAUCCAGGACAGAGCACAAUUACACAUAAUCUCUAAGACUCCUAUAAAACUGAUAUGUUAUUCUACUUCAGUUUUUGGUUUUCACAUUUUUUCCCUCCACAAGGAUCUACAUGAGUCCAUAUAUGCGGCGCACCAUUUCCCAUUGGAAUACUUUAUAAUCGUCAAAGUGAGACUUUCCAGACAAAUAACUAUUUUCUAUAAUAAAGCAAAGAACCAGGUCGUGCGUUGCUCUGGCAGGAGAUCUGCCCUUGCUUUCUGCCUGACUGCGCACUAAAACAUCAUGGAGAGAAGGCACGGGCAGAGACAGUGAUGGGCAAUGACAGUUUUCUCAACAGUGUUUCUGCUUUGAAGAUUGUAGAAAGAUAAGGGCACCUCCAUGUCAGCAGUUUGAAAGAAAAUUUCUUGUUUGACAACUAUGGCAUGCAGUGGAGAUUCUUGUGAUUUGGUUGUUUACAGCAUUUGAAAAAAUGUCACAGUUGCAGUAAAUAUCAAU